AGUGAACGCUGGCGGUAGGCCUAACACAUGCAAGUCGAACGGCAGCACAGUAAGAGCUUGCUCUUACGGGUGGCGAGUGGCGGACGGGUGAGGAAUACAUCGGAAUCUACUUUUUCGUGGGGGAUAACGUAGGGAAACUUACGCUAAUACCGCAUACGACCUACGGGUGAAAGCAGGGGAUCUUCGGACCUUGCGCGAUUGAAUGAGCCGAUGUCGGAUUAGCUAGUUGGCGGGGUAAAGGCCCACCAAGGCGACGAUCCGUAGCUGGUCUGAGAGGAUGAUCAGCCACACUGGAACUGAGACACGGUCCAGACUCCUACGGGAGGCAGCAGUGGUGAAUAUUGGACAAUGGGCGCAAGCCUGAUCCAGCCAUACCGCGUGGGUGAAGAAGGCCUUCGGGUUGUAAAGCCCUUUUGUUGGGAAAGAAAAGCAGCAGGUUAAUACCCCGCUGUUCUGACGGUACCCAAAGAAUAAGCAUCGGCUAACCUCGUG
rnacentral:rRNA from 1 species